GGGCGUGUGGUCUAGUGGUAUGAUUCUCGCUUUGGGUGCGAGAGGCCCUGGGUUCAAUUCCCAGCUGGCCCC
rnacentral:tRNA from 8 species